AUUGAACGCUGGCGGCAGGCUUAACACAUGCAGGUCGAGCGGAGAUGAGGUGCUUGCACCUUAUCUUAGCGGCGGACGGGUGAGUAAUGCUUAGGAAUCUGCCUAUUAGUGGGGGACAACAUUCCGAAAGGAAUGCUAAUACUGCAUACGUCCUACGAGAGAAAGCAGGGGAUCUUCGGACUUUGCGCUAAUAGAUGAGCCUAGGUCGGAUUAGCUAGUUGGUGGGGUAAAGGCCUACCAAGGCGACGAUCUGUAGCGGGUCUGAGAGGAUGAGACCGCCACGCUGGGACCGAGACACGGCCCAGAGUGCUACGGGAGGCAGCAGUGGGGAAUAUUGGACAAUGGGGGGAACCCUGAUCCAGCCAUGCCGCGUGUGUGAAGAAGGCCUUAUGGUUGUAAAGCACUUUAAGCGAGGAGGAGGCUACUGAGACUAAUACUCUUGGGUAGUGGACGUUACUCGCAGAAUAAGCACCGGCUAACUCUGUGCCAGCCGCCGCCGUAAUAC
rnacentral:rRNA from 1 species